CCCGGCCAGUGCCCGCCCCGAGGAGCGACGAUCCCGCCCGGUUCUACCCUGCAGCACCGGUGCUGGGCACGGAGAUGCCGCCCGAGCACAGCGGGGAGCGCCCGGGGAUGCCAGCCCGGGGAUCCCGCCCGGUUCCGCUGUGCAGCGUGGUCCGGGUGUGCUGCCCGGUGCCCGGUGCGCAGCUCCAGCGAGUCCCGUUCCUGCCUGCUUUGCCAUGAGGAACGGGGCCCUUUCAGCCAGCUGGGCUCAGAGCAGUGAAAUCACCAUCACAGGGCAGUAAAAUCACCAUCACGGAGCAGAAAUCACCAUCACAGGGCAGUAAAAUCACCAUCACGGAGCAGUAAAAUCACCAUCACGGAGCAGUAAAAUCACCAUCACAGAGCAGAAAUCACCAUCACAGGGCAGUGAAAUCACCAUCACGGAGCAGAAAUCACCAUCACGGAGCAGUAAAAUCACCAUCACGGAGCAGAAAUCACCAUCACGGAGCAGAAAUAUCACCCAGCCCUGCAGCCUCUCCUGCUGCACGGGGGGAGGAAGCUUUGCAGAACACCCUGACCUUUGCGAAGUGGGGCUGCACGAGGUUUUACUCACCAGCUCAGCACCCAGGUACCUCCCAGCACUUUGCUUUUCCCGCCACAAAAAUAAUAAUAAAAAAACCAAAAAGCUCCACAAAGAGCCACCCA